GGUGGAGAAAUUGAGUGGAAAAUGUAUGAGAGGGGUCCAUUCCUGUUGUUCGGAAAAUAAGAAUAAAAAAUUCAAAAAACUAGUUAAAGUUAAAUAUUUUCCAAAACUAGAAAACACAUCAGAAAUCUGAUACCUGAGUUUUCCUGACAUCAAAUGUUUAAUAUGAUUGUAUAUAUCUUAUGUUAUUAUCCCUAUUAGUUUUAUAUUUGCAUGAGGAACAAGAACUCUUUACCCACUCUAUUGUAAUUCAACAUAAUUUAUUCCCAGGUUUGGGAAAAGGUCUAAACAAAAACAAUUUGGUAUACAUUAAAUUUAGAUUUUAUGGAGCUACUCAUUUCCAACAUUUUACAUACAAAGUUGAUUUAGAAUGUAUAAAACAGUAAUUGGAUUUUGCCCCAUAAAACUGUUUUUGAUAUGAGAUAUAUGGGUUCAGAAGAUGGAUUGAUGAUUAGACAAACAGACGUUUAAGUGAUCUACUAAUGUUGUAGCAGGAGCUGUCAUCAUGUAACAACAGCUAUAAAAAAUUCCUGGGUGUACAGUAGUACACACCCAAUUGGAAUGAACUAAUUUUCUUAAAUGCCUAGUUUCACAUAAAAACAAAUCAAUAAAUAACAUUUUUUUUUUCCAGAAAAGCUAAGAAAUGAUGUAGGACUUAGCGAAGUCCUAACGAAGAAACUGUGUUCUUCCGCAGCUACAUUAUUUCACUAAUAAUUCAAUGCAAUACCUGCAGGCAUUCGCAAUGCCUGCAAGUCAGGCGUCAUUACGAACAUGACGACCCAGGAAUUUCAAAGUAAAUGGUGUGUGACCAUCAGAAACCACAAGACAGCAACCCAAGGGCCUGCGUUACUAAUCCUAGAAAAGGACUUGGUAGAAAUGAUGACUAUGUAUAAAAACAUAGUUCACAACCAGCCUGAACCAGAUGGUACAGCAUUCUUUGUUUGUCAAAAUGAUGGCGAAGUCAGACCAUGCCAGGACCUCACUAGGUUAUGGCACCAUCUAGGUGUGCGGCUAGGAAAAAGUAUUAAUUGUACACAUUUUCGCAAAACAACUUGCCACCAUGGUAAGACCCAUUUCAACCUGUGAUUAAUUCUUUCUCUUGGAUUAAAAACAUACAUAAAUGUGCUCUAUUUAUAUCAUGAUCGAUCCAUUCUCUUUUUAAAGCGGACUAUUAGUGACACUUUUUAAGCGGCAGCCUGGUACCUCCUUUUACCUUUUUCCAAAAUUGGUUUCAUUAUUUAUAAAUCACAUAUUAAAGUUGCUAUUAUAUAAGAAAUUAAUGACUUAUGAACUUUAACUACUGGGGAAAUCCACUUGACAGUUGAUUAAGUUCGCUUUUUGGUUUUUCUCACUCUAUUUUUUUGUUCCUUAUAUAUGUGAUUAUAGAAUUAGGAUUUCUUAUUAUACAGUCCUGGCGUCAAAGCAACAUUGAGAAAAAUUGAAGACUGAUUGCAGGGUACAUGCAUCAUUCUUUAGAAACACAAAACAAGUAUUACAAGGCCUCACAAUUAAGGUGCUCAUGACGGUUUGCAAGCAAAGCGAUUACUGAACAAGAUAAAAGGAAUUAUAUGGAUAAGGACAUGGUACAUGAUCAUUUUUAUGCGAAGUUCGAAAGAAUGUGGUCGUCAAUUACAGAAGAAGCAGAAGAAUAAAACAGAAGAAAUGGUUCAAAUGGAACCAGAAGACAAUCAUCAGCUAAGAGUAUGAAUAGCGGUGUGUACAUGUACAUUCAUAUGUCAGCUGUCCCUUGUUGUUGUAAAGAUCAUAAUUAAUUGCUGUAUUUGUUCAUUUGAACAUGAUUUAAGUUACUUUAAGUCGAUUGUUGAUGUCCAAAAAUUCACCACACACACUUUGUGUGACUGGUCGUCUAAGGGAAUUAAGGUUAUUGGGUGGUAUUUCAAGGAAAAAUACGUCAGAGAUGCAAUGGUAGCUAGGCCUUGAUAAACAUAGGGCCUAGUUAUUAGCAGCAUGGCCACUGUGACAAGUGAAAUUAUGGCACUAAAUCGACAGGAAAUUUUACUGAUAUCGAAAUAUUAAAUGUGUUUGUAAUUUAUAUUUUAAAUAUAUUAACUUCAACCUAAUAUAUACUGCUUAAUCAUUGUAAAUUAAGACAGUACUGUUGUAUACAUCACAUUGAGUGAGGUUAGAACUUUGAAAUUGCUAAUUAUACUUUAUUUCACUUGCUGGUCAUUAAUAAACUAACA